GGACGAACGGCUGGCGGCGUGCUUAACACAUGCAAGUCGAACGGAGUUGUUUGGAAGCUUGCUUCUGAAUAACUUAGUGGCGGACGGGUGAGUAACGCGUGAGGAACCUGCCUUUCAGAGGGGGACAACAGUUGGAAACGACUGCUAAUACCGCAUAACGCGUAGAGAUCGCAUGGUCUUUACGCCAAAGCUUUAUGUGCUGAGAGAUGGUCUCGCGUCUGAUUAGCUAGAUGGCGGGGUAACGGCCCACCAUGGCGACGAUCAGUAGCCGGUCUGAGAGGAUGAACGGCCACAUUGGGACUGAGAUACGGCCCAGACUCCUACGGGAGGCAGCAGUGGGGAAUAUUGGGCAAUGGGGGAAACCCUGACCCAGCAACGCCGCGUGAAGGAAGUAGGCCUUCGGGUUGUAAACUUCUUUUACCAGGGACGAAGGACGUGACGGUACCUGGAGAAAAAGCAACGGCUAACUACGUG
rnacentral:rRNA from 1 species